rnacentral:rRNA from 1 species
UGGGGAAUAUUGGACAAUGGGCGAAAGCCUGAUCCAGCAAUGCCGCGUGAGUGAUGAAGGCCCUAGGGUUGUAAAGCUCUUUUACCCGGGAUGAUAAUGACAGUACCGGGGGAAUAAGCCCCGGCUAACUCCGUGCCAGCAGCCGCGGUAAUACGGAGGGGGCUAGCGUUGUUCGGAAUUACUGGGCGUAAAGGGCGCGUAGGCGGCCUGCUAAGUCGAACGUGAAAUCCCCGGGCUCAACCCGGGAACUGCGUCCGAUACUGGCAGGCUUGAAUCCGGGAGAGGGAUGUGGAAUUCCAGGUGUAGCGGUGAAAUGCGUAGAUAUCUGGAGGAACACCGGUGGCGAAGGCGGCAUCCUGGACCGGUAUUGACGCUGAUGCGCGAAAGCCAGGGGAGCAAAC